rnacentral:misc_RNA from 1 species
UGCUUAUACUUAGAGGGAAGAUCCAACUUCAUAUGUUGUUUGGAGUAGCAAGUAGCCACUUACAAUACUCAUAUUUUGUGCAAGGCAUGAGAAUACUCUUCGUCUGAGUUUGAAUGUGCUGCUUAGUAUUGUUUUUGUCUAGAUUUCCUUAUUAUGAAAAUUUACACAACUUUCCUUUAAUAGCCUUUGGCAAAUGUUGCCUGCAGGUUAAUUAGCAUUUAGUUUAGAGAAGCAGAAUGGCUGCUGGUAGAAUUGCUCAUGCCACCUUGAAAGGGCCAAGUGUUGUCAAGGAGAUCUGUAUGGGUAUUGCACUUGGCUUGGCUGCUGGUGGUCUUUGGAAGAUGCAUCACUGGAAUGAGCAGAGGAAGGCGAGAGCGUUCUAUGACUUGCUAGAAAAAGGCGAAAUAAGUGUUGUUGCAGAAGAAUAGAUUCUUUUAUGCAUCUAUGAUGAUGUUAAGUAUCCCGAUCUUUGAUGUCACCUUGUUUGGCUAUUAAGUUGAGCAUACUCAGUUUGAACAUUUGAAGAAUAAAUAUUUUGUUUUAAGAUGUGGAGCACAUAUUUGUUUUAACAAAUAAAUGAAGUUUGAUUAUUC